UGACAUAGUUUUAACUUUAAAUUUUUCAUAUUUAUAAUUGUAUGUUGAAAAACCGAUUGGGAGCAUUUCAAUAAAGUAUAUGUAUGCAUGCAUACGUAUUUCCUUCGCAUUUCUAGAACGACGCUCUACCUUCUGAGUUACAAGGCCAAGUUGGGAACGAUGUAAUUUUUUGUGAUGGUAAUGACAUGAACGAAUUUCUUCUUUUCAUGCCUGGUGCCAGCUAUUAAUCCAGCGAAUGUUGUAUAUGAUUUUUCCCCCUGAGAUUCUACUAAAUAAAAUAGCCUACAGUAGUAUAGGAACUGCCGUAUCAAGACCACUAGUUUCGGAGCGAGACCACUGAU